rnacentral:rRNA from 1 species
UACGUAGGUGGCAAGCGUUGUCCGGAUUUACUGGGCGUAAAGAGCGCGCAGGCGGCCCGGCAAGUCGGGUGUGAAAUCCCGGGGGCUCAACCCCCGGGACUGCAUUCGAUACUGCCGGGCUAGAGGUAGGUAGGGGAGAUCGGAAUUCCUGGUGUAGCGGUGAAAUUCGUAGAUAUCAGGAGGAACACCAGUGGCGAAGGCGGCUUCCUGGACACCAACUGACGCUGAGACGCGAAAGCGUGGGGAAGCAAACAGGG